GAUGAACGUUGGCGGCGUGCCUAAUACAUGCAAGUCGAGCGAACAGACGAGGAGCUUGCUCCUUCGACGUUAGCGGCGGACGGGUGAGUAACACGUAGGUAACCUACCUAUAAGACUGGGAUAACUUCGGGAAACCGGAGCUAAUACCGGAUAAUAUUUCGAACCGCAUGGUUCGAUAGUGAAAGAUGGCUUUGCUAUCACUUAUAGAUGGACCUGCGCCGUAUUAGCUAGUUGGUAAGGUAACGGCUUACCAAGGCAACGAUACGUAGCCGACCUGAGAGGGUGAUCGGCCACACUGGAACUGAGACACGGUCCAGACUCCUACGGGAGGCAGCAGUAGGGAAUCUUCCGCAAUGGGCGAAAGCCUGACGGAGCAACGCCGCGUGAGUGAUGAAGGUCUUCGGAUCGUAAAACUCUGUUAUUAGGGAAGAACAAACGUGUAAGUAACUGUGCACGUCUUGACGGUACCUAAUCAGAAAGCCACGGCUAACUACGUG
rnacentral:rRNA from 1 species